rnacentral:rRNA from 1 species
CCCUUAGAUGGUCUGGGCGGUACGCGCGCUACAAUGAUGCAUUGAAAAAGUCUUCUGACCUUAGAAGGUUGGGUAUUCUCCAAAGUGCAUCGUGAUGGGAAUAGUUUAUUGCAAUUUUUAAUCUUGAACGAGGAAUUCCUAUUAAGUACAGGUCAUCAACUUGUGUUGAUUACGUCCCUGCCCUUUGUACACACCGCCCGUCGCUCCUACUGAUUGAGUGUCUCGGUGAAUUCUUUGAUCUUCUGUCGAUUCAGUUCACUGAUCCGACGGUGGAAAGUUGAAUGAACUUCGUCACUUAGAGGAAGGAGAAGUCGUAACA